GAUUUCAACUGAAAAAGUUAUCUGCAACAAAGUUGAAUAACUCACCAAGAUCUAAAACUUUUAUUUUGGUCAUUUCUUCAUCUGAUAAAGUGAUAGUAACAUUGUUCACAAAAUUGACAUAUCUCUUAUCUGGUUUUAUAAACUAUAACACAUAUAUGUAAAAUUUAUGAACAAUGUUACUAACAUUUUAUCAGAUGAAGAAAUGACCAAAAUAAAAGUUUUAGAUCUUGAUGAGUUAUUCAACUUCGUUGUUGAUAACUUUUUCAGUUGAAAUC
rfam:Oryza sativa (indica cultivar-group) chromosome 8, whole genome shotgun sequence.